UCCACAGCAUGUUGCCAUCAAAAGGACUUAGUAAGGAAUCUCAAAUGUGCUUUCCAGUAGGAGAAAGAGAAAGAAGAAGUAAGCAAAAGAGGCCACACAGAAGAAUUUGUAGAUUUCAUUGACACAGACUAUGGAAGAUAAUAUACGAAGAGCUCUAGUAUGUAUGCUUAUCUCAUUAUCUCCAUUUUCAGCUGUAGCCACUGUUCUGAUCAGUAAGGAAAGAGCAAUUCCUGUAGGUGAGUGCCUGCAGAAGAACCAACUACUGGGACUGCUGCAGUGAUCAGUGCCAAAACUUUGUAAAGCGAGCAGGAAAGAGUUAAACGUAUUCCCAGGCUAUGAGCAUUUAGAGUCAGACCAGACCAUUCAUUCCCAAGCUGCUGACAUCAUAGGCUCCUAAUUAUUACUGCUCGCAAAUUUUGGGGCUGUCCUAUAUUCUGCAUAAUUAACACUGGACUGGUGAUCGAUAAUCCACAGUACUCCUCUCUCAUCCAGAUCAACAGUAACCCCCAUGUUUUGGGACCUUAUGCCUGGGAAUGGCACGGAGUAGAGCCUGGGGUGCAGCCAGGCACCUGGGUUUUGUCACUUUGUCCUUCUUGAUGUUUUGCACCCUCUGCUUCUCGUACCUGCUGGUAGCACUGGGAAAGGUGCUGGCCGGCUCCUGCAUGCUGUGUUUUGUAUGUUCAUUUCGAUUCCUUCAUUUAAAUCAAAGCUUCACCUGCUGUUUUAAUAUUACACAGACUUGUAUGUGCAUGUGCGUACUUCCAAAUAAAGACGGUAGUAGGAAUAAAUAGAAAGGGAUUAUUGGAUGGCAGUAUUUAUCCUAGGACUGCAAAGAAGAACUUAGUAGAUUUAACUUCUGAUGGUUAAAAUUAUAUUCCUUCUCCCUUGGGACUACUGGCAGGUUGUAAACUUUGGGUAAUCUCCACAGAAUCCCUAAUGCUGCAUCCACAGUGCUGACUUGCGUUCCUGCACAAAAAGCAGUGACUGGGUAGCAAUUGUUCACGGCUGCAGCUCCAUGCCUCCUUGUGCUCCCCUCCAUCUCAUUAAACAAGCUACUGUUUGGGGGGUUCUUAUGCUAUUUUUUGUUUGCUCGCUUCUUUCUUUCAGUUAGCCAGAUUAGACACCUGAAUGGUUUCAUUGUUUGGGCUUCCUCUUUGCCUCCUCCAAACCUAAUAUUAAUUCCUGGAUUAUUUCAGAGCUAAAUAAACACCAGAUGUGUUUAGUAUAAAUCCAUCAAGAGCGAUCUGGAUCACUCCUGCCCCGCCACUUGCAUGGCAAAGAGGAAAGGCAGAAGAUUAGAUUGAUACUGACAACUCAUUCCCUGUGAAGGUGCCACGAUGUGGCAUUUAUUUGCAUCUACAUUGCAGUUCUCUUCAUCAAUCAGCUUUGCAGAGAUCACUGCUGCU